rnacentral:lncRNA from 1 species
GACAAACCUAUAUAAAGCCUCCUUAUUUUUCAUUUCUCUCUCUUCACAUGUUCAGCCAAAACAAACCCGUCGUUCCUUGCCCUAUUUCUCUCCAAAAUAAAACUGGCGAUAGCUAGAAAAAUUGCACCAAGCAACACGGAGAGGUUGAAUUAGAGGAAUCAAAGGGAAAAUGCCUAGAUCUCGACUUCGAUUACAGCUGUAAGAUUUCUAGGUUUCAGCUAUUUGAGUUUUUUCAAUGGGUUUAUUUUUUAAGAGGAAUCUAGUUUUUAUUUUGGGGACUUAACCUUUAGUUCGAAUGAAUUCUCUUUUUUUCGGCGCCGAUAAACUGUAUAAUCAUAUCAUAUUCUAAAGUGUGGGCGUUCAAGGUUUGAAACCGUUUGGGUGAAUUCUGAGACUUUUGGUUUAUGUUUAAUUAAUAAUUAUUAAUUUUAUGGACUUUUGGUUUCGAUUAGAUAGCUUUUUGAUUUUUAUGUCUAUAUGAAGUUAAUCUGUUUAGCUUUAGCUUUAGAUGUGAACUCUCUGUUGGGACGGAAGGUUUAAUUAUUGAAAUCAUAUAUGUAAAUUACAGUUUAGAAUCGAUUACUUUUGUCUCAAAAAAAAUUAGCAACUCUUUGAAAGUCUAGUGAAUAUUAAUAUAAAUAGAUUAUGUUCUAUUAUCUUAAAGAUAAUAUUAAAAAAUAUUCUAUAAAAUUAAAAAAACAACUUUAAAAACUAAUAUUUUUUAUUUUCCUGACCAAAUAUGACUAAUUUUAGUGAAAGUAGGGAGUAUUUGUCAAAUCAAACAAGACUAUUGGCUAAAAAAAUUGCUUUAACUCCUAUUGUUUAUAAGAAAGAACAAAAGAGGAGGAAAAAAGAACAAUAUAAGAAGUAAAAAAAGGAUGCACUUUCUAGCAGCCAACAUAGAAGAUUAUUAAAAUUAAGCGUGUUUUGGGUACUUGGCCUGGCUGUAUGAGGGAGUAGCAACCAGUUUGACCGGAUCUUAGGAUAUUCAUCUAACAUUUUACUCCAUUCUCAUCCAUAUGCUAAACAGAUGCAAACAUUUAGAUUUGGAGAGAAUUUGCUAGUUCUGAGAUUAGAAGAAAUCACUUGUUCGUGCAAUCAAUUUUCGGUAAGUCUUCAUCAAUGACUUUCAUGCCUGCUACAAAUAUAUUUUUAUCUAGUUCUUCUGAAUCUCUUGCUAGUUUAGAUUAUAAAAAUGAAUUAGAGUAUGUUAAUGAUGUUGAAAAUAGUAGUAAAGAGAACAGUUCCUUAUGUUGGUCAAUUGUUUUCUAAAUUGGAAUAAGCUAAUUUUUUUUAUAGAUCCUAUGUCCAAAAAAAUGGAUUUGAGAUUAGGAUUGCUACAAGUCAUAAAUAUGCUCACAGUAAUGAUUUGACGUCAAGGUUAUAAUAUGUAUGUAAAAAAGGUCGUAGACCAACUGUUGUAAAGACUUCAUUAGAUGAUGAAUGUGAUAACAAUAAGAAAACAAGACAACGAGACUCAAUUGGCCGAACAUUAUGCAAGGCUAAAAUGUAUGUUGUCCACGAUAAGAAAGAAGAUAAUUGGCGUAUUUUAGUUAUUGAGUUGGAUCACAAUCAUCAUUUAGUGACAUCUACCAAGUAGAUUUGAUUGAGACACAUAGAAAUAUUACGCCGGUAGAAAAAAAAAUUAAUUAACACAUUAAAUAAGGCGGAUAUUGGACCAAGUAGGAUGAUGAAAGUUUUGAGCACAAUGGGUAGAGGGAUGGAAAAUGUAGGUUUUAGUGACAAGGAUGUUCGUAAUGUAGUUAGGGAUUUAAGGCGUGACUCGAAGGAUGAAAAUGAUGCACAAGCUGUAGUCACUUAUCUGAAAAAAUUUAGUUUUAACAGUGCGAGUAAAUUCUUCUUGUCAAAUCAGGCGAAGACAAUCACAUAGCUUGUAUUUUAUGGGUAGACUCCAGAUCAAUAUUUAUGUAUCAAUAUUUCAGACACGUGGUUAGAUUUGACACUACGUAUAAGACAAAUAGGUAUAAUAUUCCAUUUGUUCAAUUUACCGGGGUCAACCACCAUUAUCACUCUAUUUUAUUUGGAUUUGCACUUUUAAGAGAUGAGACAAAAGACACUUUCAUUUGGGUAUUAGAUAUGUGGCUUGAAGCCAUGGACUACAAGGCUCCUGUAACCAUUAUAACUCACAAAGAUAAAGUCAUGAGCAAUGUUAUUGGUAGGGUACUCCCAUCCACUCAUCAUUUAUUGUGUUCUUGGCAUAUUAACAAUAAAUUUUCAAAACAAUUGCAUUAUGUUUAUGCAGAACACCCAUUUAAAGACGAUUUUAACAAUUGUGUCUAGAAUUCAUUGUCCAUUGGUGAGUUUGAAGAGAGUUGGGAAAUCCUUAUGAGAGAAUAUGAUUUGUCUCAAAAUGACUAAUAAUUUUGUAUGAUGUGAAGGAGAUAUGGAUAAACGCAUAUAAAAAGAGAUAUUUUGUUGCGGGAAUGACAACCACCGAAAGAAGCAAAGGUAUGAAUCAUUUUUUUGAUUUAUAUGUGAAUGCUUCAACAUACAUGAAAGAUUUUAUAGUUAAGACUCAGAAGGCUAUUGAGAAACAAUCCAUCAAAGAAAGAAAGGCUGAUUACGUAACAAAACAUUGAAAACAUAGUUUGGUUUUAGGAUCAGCGUUGGAAGUGCAUGCUUCUGAAUGUUAUACAAAAGAGAUGUUUAGAUGUUUUUAAAAGAGCUCGUGGAUUCUUUAAAGUAUAACAUAAAAAAAGUCAGUGAGUUAUGCCUUAUUAAUACAAAGGUCUAUACAGUGUAUGGGGUAGAUGCAAUCAGAAAUAGUCGGAGAUAUCUGUAAGUUGUCAAUAAUCGUUAAGGAGGUCGCUAACAUGUACUUGUUAAAUGUUCUCACAUUCUGGUUCAAUUUGUAGGCACAUACUGAGAUUCUUAAGCUUUAAGAUUAUUGCACAAAUACUUGCUGACAUGAUCGUUCCUCGAUGGACAAGAGAUGCUAACAGGAGUAAUGGUUAAGAGGAAAUGGUUUCUCCAAUGAGUCCUGACUUUGAAAAAAAAUCAAGCAAUGUGGUACAAUCAUUUGAUGAGUGAUUUUCAAGAGUUAGCUAGUAAAGUUGCUUGCUUAGUUCGAGGCUACAAGGCAAUACUAAAAUAAAAUGCACGAGGAAAAGCCCUUGUUGAUUAAUAUGACCCGAAUGAGAAUAUUACAGACAUACUAGACAAUGAUAAUGACCGUGCAAAAGAAUAUGCAACUCAUGAGAUAAGAUUGCAGGAUUAUAAGGAAGAGGAUGAGGUUAAGGAGGAAGAACAAGAGUAUUUGUCACCAAUUACUUCUCAAAUAAAGGGCCAAAAUAAAUAAUCAAGAUUCAAAAGUGCCUUUGAAAAAAUGGUGGGUAGUAAUUNNNNNNNNNNNNNNNNNNNNNNNNNNNNNNNNNNNNNNNNNNNNNNNNNNNNNNNNNNNNNNNNNNNNNNNNNNNNNNNNNNNNNNNNNNNNNNNNNNNNAUACUUUAAAACUUUUUCCUUUUCUUUUCUUUCUAAGUGAUUAGCAGAUAGUAGAAUCAAUUCAUGCACAUCGGAAUAGGUUAAGAUCCCAUUCAAGAAUGUAGCAUUAAACAUAAUUCUAAUAUUGGAUUAGUUGCAAGCAGUUAUAGUACUGAAUGUAAAUGACAUAAAGUAAAUAACACAAGGGGUUUUAAGUGGUUCAAAGACUAAAUACUCCUACUCUAGUCUUCUACUUCAACAAGAAGGGAUUCAACUAAGGAUUUGCUCAAUUCUCUAAAUCAUAAAGAUUCCUUCAAGACUCGCAAUCAUAGAACUUCUAGCAUACUAAUUCUUCUGCAAACUGGCAACCUUGGAACUCAUUCACUAGUGACUCUUCCAGACCAGCAGCUUUGGACAAGCAGCCCAAUAAGAACUCUUUUAGAUCCACAACUUCAGAUGCUUAGUCCUACUCAGAACUAUUCCAGACCUGCAAUCUUGGAAUUAUAGACUAAGCCCAGCAGACUUAGAAUCUCUUGUACCCUCCGGUUCUAAGCAUGCCUUUAGUCACUAAGACAAGGACCCCUCAGGACUUGGAUGCUUGGAUGGAUCAUUGUUGUUGCUGCUUUGUUGAGCCCCUAAGAUAACGUUCAAAAUUUUCAUUUCUGGUACUUAGCAGCUUCUUAUGAUCGUAUGGUAUUCAGUAUUGAUACUAGAGCAAAACUGAUAGACUGCUAAGAUGUACAUUCAACUUGACAUCUUGUUGUACUUAGCAGUCUGACUCUUCCCUUGGUCCUGCUAUUCUUUGUUAUUGAUGCUUGUCUUCAUCUGAUAUUCAACAUUGCACACCAUCACCAUUGAGGUACUGCUAAGUCUUGCAUAUCAGCUCGACUUCUUUUGGUACUUAGAAGUCCUUGAACACUGGUUAUCUUGUGCACAGAUUCGACUCUGUAUUUCAUCCCUUUAGUUCUUAAUGUUCAUGAUAAAACGUAGAGUGGCUCUUGAGGUCUGCUUUCUAAUCUACCACCCUAGUUCUUAUCUUCUUGGCCUUUUGGCUCUCAGUAUAGAUGCCACUCUAUUGGCAUACUCCUUUUUAUUAAGUGAGGCUUUUAGCAGUGUAAGGCUCUCAUUUGAUGUGCUUUACUCAUUCUAUGGUAGUCUCACUCUCACUGAAACUUUAUCUCUAUUAAGCUCUACAUGACUCACUUCAUCGUAUGUCAACACUUUAUCUCUUUGAAUUUUCAGCUCUUUAUAGGUUCAUCCAUCAUCUUUCCGUUGGAACAUAGUCGUUGGGAGUUUUCCGUUGAAGUCUUUCUUUGGAGCAUUUAAUGCUUCAGAUAUUCUAAGAUCUUUGAUGAUGGCAUUCUGGGUUGAUGUGACAACUCCUUUUUGACUUGCUUGGCACAUCAGUCUGCUUUUUCACCUAAUAUCUCUGAAAUAUCACUUUCAGCAGACUAGUUGGUAGUCAUCUUUUUAUUUUCUUCUCUUUCCUCGAUUUAGACUAAGGAUGUUGGUGAGUACAUUGGGAUAUUUAAUUAGCAACAUUUGGAUGUUGGUCUUCAGUGUUAGACAUUACAAAGUCUCAAUAACCAGAUUAAUGAACUCUAGGAUUCUGAUGCUGACGUUCAUGUACUUGGUCGUAGUUUGUCUGUGAAAAUCGUAGGGUGACUUAACCUUGACAUCUCUUAUGAUUCCAAAAAUGCUUAAUGUUGUGCCAUCUUGUACUUAGCUCUUGCAGUUUGAUCUAUGAUCAUGCUUGUCUGGCCUUGCUUUAGGAACUAAUAAGUUGACUGACUUCUUUGGCUAGUUGGUUUGCAUGUCUCUUUUGAUUAGUCAUGCUCAGCUUCCUUAAAUUUUAGCCUUAUGAUCUCUUGAUCAUACUUCAUGGUGACACUGAGCAUUGACAUCCUCCACGUUUUUCCUCUGUUUACUAAGUGGCAGGUUUACCAUUAUCUCUGUGGUUUAUUUAUCAGACUCUUCUGCUGUUUAGUAAACACUACGAUCGUUGUCUCUUAAUGAAUACUUAUAGGAUACUCCUUCUAUCUGGCUCUUCACUUCUUAAUCAGCCUUAUUGAUAUAGUUGGUGUUUUGAUCUUCUAUUUGUUUGCUGGCCAUUUAGAGAAUGCUUUAUGAUAUUCUUCAAGUAGACUGCAUUCUGAAGCUUGAGUGCUCUACGAUCUUGCUAUAGUUACUUAGAGAUAGCUCUACAAUUGCUCAGGCAGACUCUACGAUUCUGCACUUAGCUCUGUAAGUGAGACACCCCCAAAUCUGGGUACUUCAUUCCCACAUAAUUUGGUGUUCACUAUCCAAACAUUCAUUUCUAACUACCCAAAAUGUAAUAAAAUUUAAACAUUAACUCUUCCCAUUAAAGGGUUACAUAAUAAAAUCCGAUAAAUCGCAGGUCAUCUAACCUUAAAAAAAACAUUCAUCAAGUACAGAAAAUUAAUUAAUUACAUCACAUAACUAGAAUUAAGUCUGAAUAUAUAAUUUGAAAUAAACAACAAGUCUUUUCAACACUUGUUCAUCUUUCCUUUUCCUUUGCUAGUGGUUGGCUCAUCAACCUUCUCAAUUUUAGCUGCAAUGGUUAUAUAUAUGCAAGAGUGAGCAAAACAAAUGCUCACUUAAAGAUAACAUAAUAACUGGCAAUGCAUAAGCUUGACUGAAUUGAAUAACAUUUUCUAGUAGCAAUAAUCAAGAACUGAUUUUGAAAAUCAUCUGAGGGUCACAAGACUAUGAACUAUGUCCCAUGUUAUAAGUAUUUCUACUUGAACCUGUAAUAGUCCUUAGACUAUAUGGACUUCCUUCUCGUACUUAGGGGGAUCAACCAUUCGUACCAUGUAUUGUGCACGUACAUCAACUAAGGAUUAAUUGAAUCAAAAGUUUAAUGACAAUGCGAGGGUUUAAUAAGGACAUUUUAUAGAGUAAUAUGAACCAUAGAUAAAUAGUAUGAUACAUCAAAGUCAUGCUUUAAGAAUAAAUUUCAAAGCAUUAAAAAUAUAUAAUGAACCUAGCUUGAACAACAAUGAUAAGCUAAGGUUACAUUUUUCAAUAAGGAAACAAAAUUAAGAACUUUGCUCUAUAGAAUUCAAGAACUUGCAUAAUUUUAUAAACAAAACAGAAUAAAAAACUUGCAUAUUUAUAAACAAUAGGAUAAACUCAAAUAAAGAUUAGGGUUAGAGAAUUUUUUUAAAUAAGAGUAGGAUUAGGAAACUUGCCUCGUGCGUAGAUUAAACGAUCACUGCUCACGUUCACCACAAGUCCUACACAUACCAUAUGUAUUGACAACACUCACUAGUUACACUAAUAUUAACUUCAUGAGUUUAGUUCCCACUUUUAGUAUAGCUCGUUAACUUAGUUUAAGUUUUUUUAUUACUACCAAAAAUCACAUAUUACAAGACCGAAGUCUCGAAUCUUAAGUUUAAGCAACAUCACAUCUUUUCAUGAGCAUCACAUUUUAGCACUUUUACAACUUAUCAAAUUAUCAUGCCAUGUCAACAUAUGAACGUUAAUAACCUAAUAUAACAUCUUAUUACAUGUCCAACACAUUAUCAUGUUCCGUAUAUUAGGUUAGAUUAACACAUAAAUGACUGCACUUGCAUACGUGCAUCCCGACGACCACUGAUUGCCUCUGAGUGCACAUCAGUCAUAAAGAUGACCAUUGUAACCUUUACUAACGAUAUCAAACUGAAAAUCUUAAAGAACAAAAGUUGUAGGUCUACUCGUCCUCGUUCUGGAUCAUCUUGAAUCGCAUCAAUCGUAGUCUGUAUGAAAAAUUUAUCCCUAUUUUAGUAAAAUAUGUCUGGUUAGAUUUUCUCUAACACUUAGUCAGUCUGCCCACCCCCGCCGGGGCGGGGUUUUUGAGCUACAAAAGCCCUCCGGGGAGGGAUACCCGUUGGGGUGACACAAAAUACACUGGUAACGCCCGCCGGGGCGGGGGUACCUGAUAUCAGUUUCUGCAGUUCGUGAAAGAACACAACAGAAAGCCAAAUUAGGCCUUAAAAAUAAACUAAUGUUCCUAAAAUGUUUCUAACCAUAUAAAAAACAUAAACUUCCAAAUUACAACUUUUAAAUUCUAUGCUUUUACUAUUUCUUCACUUUUUGACAUUCUUAACAAAAUUAAUCACUGUGAAUUCGUUUUUCAACCAAAACAAUUAGUUUAAAUUACUUUGUUUUCGUUUCUUCAUGUAUUUUCACAAUCAAUAGUCAAUUUAUACUUUAUACUAAGAAUUGAGUAUCAAUUUUGAUUCUAAAAUAAGCCAUAUCAAAUUUACAUAUCUGUAUUUUUUUUUGUAAACAUAAUUUCUUCAAAUAUAUUAUACUUUCAUGGAUUAAACUACUCUAAAUCAUAUGUAAACCACAUAAAAAAAGUUUAUGUUUACUAAUUAACAUAUGUAAGCCAUAUUUUCAACAUUCAUAAUAGAAUUCAAAUUACAGAGAAAUAAAAUUAAGUUUUUCCUAUGAAGAACCAUAAUGAGAGUAAAUUGAUAGUUGAACGUUAGAUUACUACCUUAAAUUUCUUGUUUACUAAACAAAGAUGAUAACACCUUCCUUUAAUUAUCUCAAACUCACAAAGAACUCUUCUCUUCUUCCUUCUCUCUUUUCUCUCUAUAUAUUAUACGUAACUUAUAAAAACUGAUAUAUAUAAUAUAAACGUAUAACAUAUAAUGUAUUAAUAUAUAAUAUAACUGAUGUCAGUUACUUUUUCUUUUUAAAUUCACACUACAAAAAAAUAGGGCUUCAACAACAACCAAUUUUUCGUUGCUAAAGUGUCAAAUUUUGUUGCAAAAUGGUUUUAGCAACGACUUUAAUGUCGUUGCGUCUUUCGUUGCGCAAUGAGCGUUGCUAAUUGUUCCGCAACGAAUAUUUUUUUUUCGUUGCCAAAACUAAUACAUUUUGCAACGAAAUUUGGCUUUCGUAUAGAGACAUCGAUCCUUUAGCAACAAAAUGUAUUGUUGCAGAAUAAUUAAAAUUUCGUUGCUAAAAAUUCCAUUUCGUUGCAAAAGCCUGCUAAUUGGCAACGAAAUGAACUUUUUUUUUUGGCAACGAUCAUGCAUUUUUGUUGCAAUUGACACCAUUUUGCAACGAUAUUUUUCGUUGCGGUAAAUUAUGAAAAUUGUUGCCUAAGCUUGCUUUCGUUGCGGAAUGUAAACUUUUUAGUAACGAUUUUCGUUACUGAUUAUAUUAUUUGGCAUCGACAUUAUGCUGAAUCAGCAACGAAAAUAUUUAUUGCUGGUUAUUUUUCAAUAGCAACGAAAGUCGUCGAUUAGCAAUGACAUUAUAUGUUGCUGUUUCUUUAUAUGUGCAACGAAAGUUGAUAUGAUUUGCAACGAUAAAAAAUGUUGCCUUUUAUGUUAGUAUUAGCAACAAUAUUCUCUCUGUUGUUAUUAGGUUAAUUUUUCGUUACCAAAUAUUAUAUUUUUAAUGCCAUUAGCAACGAAAAUUUGUUGCUAAAUGUAUAAAAAAAUUGUUGCUAUAUUAAAACUUGUUCAAUGCUUUGGUAACGAAUUAUAUUGUUGCCAAAUCAAAAUUUGACAUUCUGUGUACCUGGCUGGCUCAAUGUCCCCAUAACAAAUAAUGGCAAUAGAGUUGCUACGUUGUACUAAUAUUAUUAAACCAACAGACUACCCACAAUAUUUAUUAAAUGGUUGAGCAUAUAGAAAGAUUCCAGAGUCCUUCAACUGGCUAAAUAAAAUGCCUUAAACAAGAUAACAUGAAGUACAUACUAGUUUGCCAAACAUACACAAGAUGGUACCAAGUGCAAUGUGCAUGUAUAAGAUUACAACAACUAUGACAAAGAUACACAUGCUCUAUGUGUCCAACUUUGAAGUAACUAUUAUGUGAAAAAAGCUAAAUCUUCUAUUACACUUGGCACACAGUUCUGUAUGCCUAUUUACACGGUUCUUGAUUUUUAUUUUGACAAACUCAAAAUUACUAAAUCUAGACAAACAGCAUGCAAUUUGAUACACAAUUGACAACAACAGGCAUAUUAAGUAAAUCACACUGUCAAGUGAGUAUACACGAAAGAUUAUUAAACUAAACAUCAAUAAAUAAAGCAUAAUUUAGGCUUAGAGGGCGUUCAAGAAACAGCAAGACCACACUAACAGAACAAAAAAAAGCUUCCAGUGACAAUUCUAGAACCGUGGCUCACUAAUCAAUAGCCAUGCACAUAGAGACGUGGAAGAAACAAAACUUUAAUCUAUCUCCUCAGCAGAUUAAUCUAGUCCCUACGUUAUAUGCUCUCUAGAAUUUGGAAGAUCUAUAAUGAAUGUAAUACAAUUUUAAGCCACAGGAAAACCAUACAAAACAUGUAAAAUGUAAUGAUCUCCUUAUAGAGAAUUCCGGGAGAUAUAUGAACACAGAAUGACUGCAGGAUUAAGAUCUCGUUGAUUGUUGAUUUCAUCAAUAUUGGUAUCUUCUGGAGUGUUGCAACCCAAUGCAACAGUAUUAGAAGAAUCUGGAGUUUGGUCAAAGGAUGGUUCACUCUUCUUAGCCUAUAAUCCAGUAUACUGCACAAGAUCGAUCCAUUGCUGCACCAAAUAAUAGACAUAAAGUUGGAUUAAUAUUAUUUUAUCCCAAAAAGAGAAAAGUUUAAAGGCUACAACUAAUCAAUGCCCAUCCUAUCAAUCUAGCACAACAUGAAAAAAACAUUGGUCAUAAACACUUUAUAUACCUCUUUCUCUCCUUCAACAAGUACACAAACUACAAUCACCUCAGCAACAUAAUUUAGGACACAAUAAUUGUGCUAUAGAUGGAAUAAUAUAUACAUAUAUAUGUAUAUAUAUAUAUAUAUAUAUAUAUAAGCUUUUAUGUGUGUGUGUGUAUUUAUAUAUGUAUCUCACAGUUAGUAAUAAUAUGUGUGCCAUUGAAUUCUUCACGCCAUCAUCUUUACCAGAAAUCGAAUUAAACAAGAAAGGAAAAAAACAGAAAAAGUUAUUUAGUAAGUAGAAGCAUCUAACUUAGGUUCCCUAAUAGGAGUUGAUUGUUCGGACAAUAAAAGAUAGCAUAUUUAUGAAAAAAUGUUUGAUCUAAAAAUUAGUCUGAAAUUCGAUGUUCCACUAUUCCAGAAAUAACCUACAUUGCAAGUGAUAUUAUUGUUAAAGUCAAGUACAUUGAUAAAAGCACCAAAAAUGUUAAUUUUAAAAUGCAUGCAAUAGUUAACUGCAAGAACAGUUCAAGAUUGUAGCUAUGACCAUUGACAUAUAAUUUUAGCAUCAAUAAACUAUGUCGCAUUUCUCACUAGAAAAGUAACCUCAGACAGGUAUAACAGAUGGCAAGAUAAACCUUUGGCUUAUCUUGGAACUUGAAAGGGGAUCCAAAAAGAAGAAGACUGAAAAAGGUGGACUAUAUUACUGCAAGCACUUUAUGGAAUAGACUAAAUAAAGUAGUUGCUGUAAGUUAGCAACACUUGGUCACAGCUCAUGCACAAAACUACAAAUCAAUAAAGUAGCUAUCAAGGUGCUUAAUCAUUUCAAAAAUUAACUGGGUAGUGCUUUAUAUCAACAUCUCAUCAACAGUUGAUCAAGCUCAUCUUUGUAGUAUUUCCCUUAAAAAUGUUUUUAUUAGUUGACCUUGGUUCAGUGAACGACCUUCCCAUAAGCCUCACAAAUAUGGAAGUUGUGCCAUAAGUUGUUGAUGCCUGUCGGUUAAUAUCCUAUGAUUACAAUGUAUUAUUUCAUCUUUACAAGAAUGACAAGAGAAGGUAUUGUCAUGAGUUAUCAAUGAUUGAUCUGGUUCAAAACCAAGGUAACCAUAUUACAUGGAAAUAGAAGCUUACGUUGAGCAUAAAGUACUAGCUCUCUACUUGAUACCGGAGAUUGACUGAUGUUCCAAGAAAGGCUCCAUAAACUGCUGCUGUUUUGAAGAUGGGUGAUCUUUUAUUCACUUGACUAUUGACAAGGGUCGGAUUAAGUAUUUUGCGCAUUGCAUACUAUAUAUUGGAGGCAACCACAGCUCCAAUGCUGGAAAUAACACCCGCACUACCAAGCUUCAAGCCACCAAUGAGCACUGAAGUAACUUUAUGACUCAAAUUCCAAUCCUUCCCAGCUAGAUUCUUCUAAAAUGCAUUAUCAGGAAUGGAGCCAAGAAGACCCUUUAGUGCUUCCAUGCUAUCAGGUACGUUAGCCUCACCAGCGAUUGAAAGAAAUGACAAUGUCGGAGCAGGAAGCCAUACGGUAAAUAAAUCAACAACAAUUCCCCUGGUAGUGUCUAUAAUAACAUAAUCAAUCUAUUCAAAGAAAUUUUCUUUACGCUUACCAUACUGUGCUAAGAGCAUUGUUGUUAUUGAUAUAGCUUCUUCUAUGGCUAAUCUAUGUAGAAACUUGGAAUCUGCUAAUAAUCUUUCUCUGAAACCCUGCAUCAAGAUAGCUACGGUCAACAUAUAACAUCUAUUAAAAUAAUCUCUAUUACCAAAUAAUAUACAUAUUCCAUCUCAAACACAAAAUAACGGAGGGAAAGAUGGAUAAUAUGUCUUCUGAAAAACACAUUUAACCUGGAAAAGGUUUAAAGAUGAACAUAUGUUCGUCUUACGGACAAUAUUUGAUUUACAGAAAACAAGUUUACCUGGAAACGAUGAGUGAGUUCUGAAAUAAGAGGAUAUUGCUCCAGAUUAAAAAACUUUUGAAGUACUUCUGGAGAUACCAGAACAAGAUCAAGUCCUCUCUGAAUGUCCUGAAAAGUAAGUUAUAAUGUUUAUGUCAAGAUUAAUUUGAUUGAAGUAAAAGCAUUCCAUCUUGUAUAAUCGUUUUUAAUUCAAACCUUAUUCCAUUAACAUAUUAAUUUUUUAAAAUAAAUCACAAAAUAAUGAUAAAGCAUACAAUAACAAAAUCAGGAUGUAUUAAGCUUGAUUAGGUAACAAUAACUAGUAGCUCUAGGGAAAAGUUUGAUUAGGUAUUAAGCUAUUGACAAGGAAACGGUACCAUGGAAACAAACCUGAUCACAUCUACAAUAAUUGCAAUACGAAGUAGAGGGCUUUUCAUAAAGAUGCAGUUGUAGGGGAUAUGUGUAUUAAAAAUAAAUUUAGCUUUUAUAAGAAGAAAGCAUAAAGUUUAUAUACAUUUAAAAGUAAUUCAAUUUGUAGAGAAUUUCACUGUUACUAAUGAUACAAUCACAUCAAUGAUCCAAAAAUAUCAAACCCACAAAAAAUAACCUUAAGUCAAUAAAAUUUUUAAAAUGUAUCACUUUGGGACGCCACAUACUAGAUGUUGGACAAAUAAAAGUCCUUAAAUCAAAUUUGUUACUAGUUAGCAAAAAUAAGACCCUUAUAAAUCACUUAUCUUAUUCCCACCUACUAGAUGUUGGACAGGAGCAUCACAGAGUUUCUAGAUCUUUUAAUGCAUGUCAGUCGCUAGAUUAUUAAAUGAGGAUGGUAAAAUGUCAUUGAAUGACCAGAUAUAACAGCUCAUAAGCAUUUCAUCAACAAAAUGGGUAAAAGUAAACUCCAGGAAAGCAAAACUAUGAUGAUACCAAGAUACAACAACAUAUAAGAAAUUUUCAAACACCAACAAACACUCCAGGAAAGCAAGAUUACACUAAAUAAAAAAAGAAGAUAGCUGACAAGAAAUAUGACAAAACUAGAUAUUAAAAGGACAAAUGCUUCACUAAAUACCUGGAUUUUACAAAAAAGAAACUUGUCAUUCUGACAAAAAGAGGCCAUAAAUCAGUUAUUCCAGAUGAAACAUGUUCAGUGGCUUCCAACUUAUUAUUUGAGGAACCAUUGGGUGCAUAUGACUUGGUUCGUGAGUAACUUCUUUCAGAUGGUUUUAAAAGGUCAAAAUGCACCUAACUAGAAAUGCAAUGGAUAAGACCUGUUCUGCAAUAUUCCAGGAAACAAAUCAAACAAUGAAGAACUAUUGAGACCCAAGAGAAACACUUAGAAAAAAAGAGCUAUCUAGGAAUAAAAUUACCACUAGCGUGACUUUUCAAAUAGUUGUUCUUACCUUUCAAAGAGUAACAUUAGGUUAUCUCAAGCGUUGGGAAAAGGUUCUUUAAUAGCCAGACUUCUAACACAGUGAUACAAGGCAAGGAAAUCAUCGCCAACUUAUGUUGCCAAUAACACCAACUACAAAUGGACUUAGAUAGUUACAAUAGCAUUAUUAUACAUUUCCAAACUUCACAAGUUAUUUCCUCCAGGCAACUAGUAGAGUGAAAGACGAUUAUGUUAUGAUAAGACAAAAAAUACCUGAUUUUGGGGAUAUCCACUAUCUGGACAAAUGAUUGCUGCUUCGAAGUAAUAGCUGGUUGCAACAGACCACUUACAGUUUCAAUUAUCAGAUUUUUGAUAAAGUUCCCUGUAUCUAGCAAGAUCCCCAAGACAAACUAACAAACGAUGACAUGUAUAUUGGCAUUUAUGAAAUUUUGUUGGUUCAACCAUAAAGGAGCUGUCAUCCUUGUUAUCCAGCAGCAGUUCCUCGUGAAGUCCACAACUUUUCAUAAAAGAUUGCUCCAUCCGAGCAGUCACCCUUUAAGACUGAUCUUUCUUGAAAGAGGGAAUAAUUAGUUCAAUGACCUUUCCAUGGACUGCCAAAUCAAGGGCCUUCAUAUAGACAAAGAAACGGCUGUACGGAUUCUCCAAUAAGUUGUACAGAUUGAACAUGCUGGAAGAAAAAGGGAAAAGAAAGAAAAUUAAAUGAGAUAAGGCUGCAAAAAUCUACGAGCUCAAAUGAUCACUAUCAAACUAAUUACAUUUUCAAAUGCAGUGCAGGCUUAUCAUGUGGCUGCUGGGUGAUUUUAGUGGAUAUUAGCUUAGCCAUCUCCAGUGCUUCAUCCAAACUGUCAGACUUCUUAACAAGAUUGCAAAUGACAGUGAAGACACAUUCAAGAUCUGGAUAAAAAUCAACAAAUAGCUUAGCUCGUAUCUCUAAUUUUUAAAAAGGUAUUGGAGAAAACAACAACCUGUAAAGAACAAAAUAUUAGGCUUUAGGAACUGCUGAGUCCUAUAGGCUAUGACAUAAUUAACAUAAAAGUAAUUGUACAGAAAAACAAAGAACAUAUUCCAAAAUGAUUAAUAAUGUGAUACAUUUAUGCAUAAAAAAUCCAAAAGUAGUCAUUGUAAGAGUUUAAGAUGAAUACUCUCUUGAUUAAUGUUAAUUUCUACAAGACGUAGUUUUCAAAUGGAAUGCAAGAAGCAAACAAUAAAAGCUGAUAUAGAAACCCAUAGUUUGAGCAGGAAGUUGGCAAAAAUAGUAAGACAUAAAAGAAACAGAAGUAAUGCAUUGUUUAGUGUCAGGAAACAUGUUUUAUAAAUGGAAAAGCAUCACUUAAAUUAUACUCAUCAGCGAGAAUUAAUAACUUCCUGAGAAAGCAAUGGAAUUUCUUGAAAACAAUAAAUUCCUUAACGCGAGCUUGAACCAGUACUACUCAACUCAAAACAACAUAAAAUUGUUGUACCAGUACUACUCAACUCAGAACAACAUAAAAUUGUGGUAGAGAUACGCGUAAGAAAAGUUGAAAACCUACUCUACUGUGACGCCCCCAGAAUAGGUAUACAUCACCCAUUCUGAGUUGUCAAAUAUAUGGUACAGAAAUAACUACAACUUUAUUAAUACAAUUGUCGUGCAAAAUACGACAACACUUAAACUGUGAGUUUAAAUACAAAUAUUGUCUUCUAGACAAUAUCCAUACCCAAAUAAGUCCUCAUUACAAUUAUUGAUACAUUAUUUUACAAAAAUGGUGAGGACUACUAAAACAACUUCUAGAACCAUCAUUCCAUACCCCGACUAGUACUCGCUACAUUCUCGCCUCCUGAGAAGAAAAAUGGAACAAAAAGGAAAAGGGUGAGCUCAACUAGCCCAGUAAAGAAUAUUAUGACUAAGAUAAUAUAGAACAAAUUAUCGUUAGUCUUCAACAGGAAAAAAUCUGAGAGAAUAUAAUAAACAACAAGUUUCAGAUCAAUAUUCGCAGCGGAAAUAAUAAUUCAUAGAAGAGUAACGUAGAGAAUGAAAUCUACUAUUAUCUAUGAAUUUAAAAGUUCAUCAACAAUAUUUUUAUCCCUGUAACAUCAAUUAAUACACAUCUUGAAUCAAAUAUUCAUCUUUGCACUAUAGGCCAAAGAUAUUCAUCAGUUAGUCAUGUUCAUCUCAACACCUAUUCAUCUUUGCACUACUGGCCAAAGAUAUUCAUCAUAAAAUCUUUAAUCUUUGCACUAUAGGCCAAAGAUAUUCAGUUAUAUCAUCAUUUAGGACUGAGGAUGAUGAAAAAUAUUUUAAAAAAAACGAAUCCAGUGAAACAAAAGAAUAAAUAUUAAGGAUUCGUAUUUCGAUUUAUCCAUGUCCAAAAAUACCUCAUAAAUAAUCAUAGUGGAGUAAAAUUCAAGAAUGAUCAAAACAUGGAUACAAUCAAAGCUAGUAUCCAUAAUAGAUAUUUUGGACGAAAAACGAAAAUUUAUUUUUUCUGUGAAUAGUGCCGUAUAUGUGAAUAGUAACUCCAACACUAAAAGACAAGAAUUUCACAAGAAAAAUACUCCCAAUAUUCCAGCAUAAUGAUAUUGAAAGAAAUAAUAUCAUUUUCAAAAAAAAUAAUAUCCCUUACCUCAAAAAGACAGUACUUCUGACUGAAAUACUGAAUAUAGUGCUGAAGGGAACUUGCACCGUAUAACAACACUCAAGGUAUCAAAAUACUCACAAGAAUACGCUCGAUAAUAUAGAGAGAGAAAGAGAGAAAACUUUAGUUUCUGGUGUGAUUUUCAAUUCUAACCUAAGCACCCUAUUUAUAGGAAAAUGCUUAGAACACCAAAGCAGAAAAUUUAAUAUAAUAAUAAUAUAAAUUUUCUCAACUAUCUACGAACACCACUAGACCACAACAUCUGUAAAAUCCCAAAUUUUACGAAUAAAUAUUUAAAUUUAUUGAAUUUUUUUUUGAAUAUUAUGGUGUGGAUUUAAUAUAAUGUUAUAGUUGGGUAAUAUUUAUAAAUUUUGUAAAGUAUGCAAGUUGUUAUAUUAUAUUCGAUUAGUCGGGGAAUAUUCUUUGUGUCGGGGAAUAUUCGUACGACGACACAAUCAUUGGUGGACCCCACAACGGAAUUAUUGUCGGAUUGAGAAAUCGACAAAAAUAUUUUUAUGAAAAUAACGGCGGAAGUUUUACCGUUAAUACUGUUGAACUACUCGGUAGUAAAAGUACAGUAAUACGCGUGGUUGCAUAGUAGCACACGAUUUUGAUUAUUGAUGCUUACGUGAGAAGUCAUUCAGUUAUACUCAAUUAUUGCUACAGUAAUUGCUGCAUCAUAUCUCUCAUAUUAUUGAUUCGAUUAUUGUCAUAGUAUCAUCUGCAUAAUAUGUUAUUUUAUUAAAUCAAUAAUUGAGACGACAAAGUUAUUCAUAUUAUUAAAUUGCAAUAUUUACAAUGUCUAGAAGUUCUGUCAAGGAGAGGUUUGGUCACCUAAUUGCGCGCCAAUAGGGAGAAAUCCUUAUUGGAAAGCCCCCUCUUUCCUGGGAACGACCUGGUUGAUAAAUAUUGUGAGUUAUAAUAUUAAUGAUGAAUGUUAUUAAAAUUGAAGUUGUGUUCGGAGUUGAAUUUGGAGACGCGGACGUGAUAUUUGAGUCCGGAACGAUGAAAUUAGUAAAAAUAGUCUAUAAACACAAAAUUUUCCGGAAUUCACUAUUUGGUCAAAAAGUCAACAGUUGACUUUUUCGGGAAAAGUCAAACUUCGAAAUUUCAAAAUUUAUAUUUUUGAUAAAAAUGGUUUCAUUGUGUUGGAAUUAUUUGUGUUAGUGAAAAUCGACAAUUAUUUCGAUAAUAAUUGAUGUCUGGAGGUUAUAUUGACCAAUCGGGUAUUUAACCGGAUAAAUGAGCAAUUGAUUGCUAUUAUUUCACAUGAUUAUAACUAUUUGUUCACAUGUGUAUACUAUUGUUUCACAUUCUUGUUACUAUUAGGGGAGUUGGUGCAAGAUUGAUAAUACUUGCAUGACUAAGUUAAAAAUGGAGGUAUAGAUGGAGGUACUAUACUGUAAUUCGUAUUUUCACAUGUCUAGAACUAUUGAUUCACAUAAUUUACUAUUGAAUCACAUUAUUUACUAUUAGGGGAGGUGGUGCAAGUUUGAUAAUAUUUGCAUGACUAAAUUAAAAAUAAAGGAAAAGUUGGAGGUAUUGUACUAUAAUUUUUCGAGCCCCAAAACGUGCAAUUAUCGAAACUAUAUUUUUCUAUAAAUAGAAGCUCAUUCUUCCUUCAUUUCUCACCAAUUCACAAAAGCUAUAGAAAUAUUAUUAUAGAGAGAAAUUGUAGAGAGAAAAUCUAUAGAAGAAGAGAAGCUUGCUACCUCACUACUUCUUUAUCCAGUUUCUUUCAAAGGUAAGGGGUAUUAUUUCUUUUGUAUUCAUGAAGAGAACUUUUGUUAUUCCAUUCUUUAUUAUUCUGUUGGAAUAACCUGUAUACGCGGACUACCCUAUACUUGGUGACAUUCUUUUAUUAUUCCGUCUUUAUUAGUAUUCUGUUGGAAUAUUCUGUCUGUACGUUUUACGCCGGACCUGAUUCCGUUUUUAUUAUUACUCUGUUGGAAUAUCCUGUCUGUGCAUUUUACGCUGGACCUGGUUCCGUCUUUAUUAUUACUCUGUUGGAAUAUCCUGUCUGUGCGUUUUACGCCGGACCUGGUUCCGUUAUUUAGUAUUCUGUUGGAAUAACCUGUCUAUGCGAAGUACCGCAUGCAUGGUGAUUUCUGUUGUUAUUUCAUUCUUUAUUAUUCUGUUGGAACAUCCUGUCGGUGCGAAUUUCGUCUGACUUGGUUUCGUUACUUAUUAUUCUGUUGGAACCUGUCUAUGCGAAGUACCGCAUGCAUGGUGAUUUCUUUUGUUAUUCCAUUCUUUAUUAUACUCAGUUGGUUAAAAUUUUGACUUCUAUACUCCAUGAAAUUAGUGGAAUAUCCUUGAUAUUUGCGCUUCAUCCAGUAUCUUUCGUGGAAAUAUUCUUCUGAGCAUUCUUGAAUUUUUACUCUACAAAGAAGUAUCAUGUUGACAAAUUGGACGUUAUUGGUUCCUGGACAAAUUAAUUCGUGAACUUGUUUUAUUGAAUUCUUAUAUCAUUGUCAUCAUCCUCAUGUUUAUAUUUUUUUUGAAAGUCAUCUGUGGCCUGUAGUGCAUAGAUGGACUUGAUAUGAUUAUGACCAGGGACUAUUCGGUGUGAUCAUGACCGUAAUGUUACAAAUGAUGUGAUAAAAGUUCUCAUUGGCUUGUAGUGCAUUGACGGACAGUUGUUGGCAUGAUCAUGACCAUUGAUGAGUACACGAAUAUCCUUGGCCCGUAGUGCAUGGAAUUUGUGGUCGUGAUACUAAAGAAUAUCUUUGGCCGUAGUGCAGGGGUGAUUCGAUGAUGUGGAUUAUUUAUUAAGCUGAGUCUCAGCCAUAAAAGUGAUGAAAAACAUUUUAAAUCAUAAAAGAUAGUAGAUUUUAUUCUCUACUUGACUCUUUUAAUUGAUUGCUUGUCCCGCUACAGUUAAACUUGAUGUCUAUUGUAUUUUAUCAGUUUAACACUGUUGAAGACUAAUGAUAAUUUAUUCUGCAUUAUCUUAGUCAUAAUAUUUCUUACUAGGCUAGUUGAGCUCACCCUUUCUUUCACUGUUCUCUUCAGAAAAUGAUAAUAUAGCUAGGACGAGUCGGGGAACGGAGUGAUGGACCAGAUGAUAAUAUUAGUAGUCCUCACUAUUCUGUUAAAUAGUGUGACAACAAAUGUAAUGAGGACUUAUUCUGAGAGUGGAUAUUGUCUUGAAGACAAUAUUUGUAUUAAAACUCGCAGCUCUCUUGUUGUAUAUUAAAG